rnacentral:rRNA from 1 species
GACAGAGGAUGCAAGCGUUAUCCGGAAUGAUUGGGCGUAAAGCGUCUGUAGGUGGCUUUUAAGUCCGCCGUCAAUCCCAGGGCUCAACCCUGGGACAGGCGGUGGAAACUACCAAGCUGGAGUACGGGUAGGGGGCAGAGGGAAUUUCCGGUGGGGCGGGUGAAAUGGACGUGAGAGAUCGGAAAGAACACCAACGGCGG